rnacentral:rRNA from 1 species
ACUGGGCGUAAAAGCGCAUGCAGGUGGUUUGUUAAGUCAGAUGUGAAAGCCCGGGGCUCAACCUCGGAAUUGCAUUUGAAACUGGCAAACUAGAGUACUGUAGAGGGGGUAGAAUUUCAGGUGUAGCGUGAAAUGCGUAGAGAUCUGAAGGAAUACCGGUGGCGAAGGCGGCCCCCUGGACAGAUACUGACACUCAGAUGCGAAAGCGUGGGGAGCAAACAGGAUUAGAUCCCCUGGUAG